AACGAACGCUGGCGGCAUGCCUAACACAUGCAAGUCGAACGAGACCUUCGGGUCUAGUGGCGCACGGGUGCGUAACGCGUGGGAACCUGCCCUUAGGUUCGGAAUAACUCCCCGAAAGGGGUGCUAAUACCGGCUAAUGUCUUCGGACCAAAGAUUUAUCGCAUUUGGAUGGGCCCGCGUUGGAUUAGCUUGUUGGUAGGGUAAAAGCCUACCAAGGGGAGGAUACAUAGCUGGUCAGAGAGGAGGGUCAGCCACACUGGGACUGGGACACGGCCCAGACUCCUACGGGAGGCAGCAGUGGGGAAUAUUGGACAAUGGGCGAAAGCCUGAUCCAGCAAGGCCGCGUAAGUGAUGAAGGCCUUAGGGUUGUAAAGCUCUUUUACCCGGGAUGAUAAUGACAGUACCGGGAGAAUAAGCUCCGGCUAACUCCGUG
rnacentral:rRNA from 1 species